rnacentral:lncRNA from 1 species
CUUAGGGGGGUGUCCUCAAUCUAGAGUUUGAUGGAUUUUAAAACUCCAUAUAAAUUGAAGUAUCCUCAAUUUAGAUUUAAAUAUAAUUCAUCAAAAUAUAGGUGUCCCCAAUCUAGAUUUUUAAAAAUACUUAUAAAUUUAGGUGUCCUCAACAUAAAUUUUAAUAGGUAGUUUUGAAAUUUAGAUGUCCUCAAUAACUAGUUGAUUUUAAAAGAUUUCAUUAAGUAGAUAGAUUUUGAAGGAUUUCAAGGUAAAAAUAUAAGUACAAAGAAUCAGUAACAAUUUUAACCCAAACCUAAAAAUUUCACAACAUUUCUCACCUCUCUCCAUAUUUGCUACCCUCUCUCUCUCUCUCCCCCACCCCCCUCCAUCUUCAACAAGAUUUUCUUCUUUUUUCUAUCUCACAUUUCUCUACUGUGAAAAAAUCAUGUAUGAAAACUCUUCAAUUGAUGAUAAUUUAUGAAAGAUUACUAUUUUUUGUUGAAUAUUGGGUGUGAUUUUUUAUUGAACUUAUUUUUUCUUAUCGAAACUAUAUAUUGUUUACUAUUUUAUAGAUGUGCUGGAAGUUAUCAUGAUAAUUUACGAUUUCUAAUAUGCAUACUGGAACAACUUCGUCUUUCAACCCUAUUCCUUUUUCUUGGAAAGAGCUGUGUGUUUUCUAUAUAUACCUGCAAAUCCUAACCAAGAUAUGUAAGGAUGGUAUCCCACAAUUUUUUCUUUUGUGUUUGCAUGGUCAAUGAGAAUUCUGGGGGUAUGGAAUUAAUUGCCUUGUGGUCAUGUAUGUGUACAUCUGUGUGCUUAUAUCUCACAAGGUUGUGGCAUUUUGAACUAAUUCAUAUUGAUUGCGAUUUUGAUUAUUUAACACUACAUAUUUUUGUCCUCUCCCACUCUCGCAUUUUGUUGAAUAUUGGGUGUAUUUUUUAUUGAAGCCCUGUUAUAAUAUUCAGAGCCCGUUUGAGCCACAUUAUAAUGAGAAUGAGAAUUAGAAAUAGAGUCGUUAUGGGCUUCACAUCAGAGAUAGAAAUUCAAAAAUGGUGGCUUAAUGUGAUGGAUAACGGUCAUAUUUUUCAUUUUAAUGAGGUAAAAAUGGGGCUCAAACAGGGGCUCAAUGUUUAACAAACAAUUGAA